AAGGCCCUAAAUAUUUGCUAAGUGAUAAAGGAUGUGACAUUACUUAUACAACCAGGAGGUUUGCUUAGAAGCAGCAACAUUCCUUUAAAAAGUGCGUAAUAGCUUACUGGUCAAGUGAUGUUGCGCCGAAAAUGAACGGGACUAAGUAAAUUGCCGAAGAUGUGGGAAUAAAAUUCAGUAGAAGAGCGUUCUGUUUUUGUUAGAAGUAAUAGCGUGAGCAGUUAUGGACUUAACAGAAGUGAGAAUGUCGGCUUAAGUAACGAAAACAUUGGUGGAAAUCCAAUGCCCCGUAAAUCUAAGGUUUCCUUCGCCAGGUUCGUCCACGAAGGGUUAGUCAGGACCUAAGACAAGAUUGAAAAAUGUAGUCGAUGGGUAACAGUUUAAUAUUACUGUACUAAAUUUUGUUUGCUAUGAGUAACGAAAAAGGCUAAAUUGGUCAAACUUUGGAAGUUUUGAUUUAAUGUAUGAAGACGUUGAAGGACAGUUAAAAUGUCAUGAGUUAACAGCAGAAUACGAAAAGUAUUACGAUACUUUAAGCAAUUGAUGUCAUAUUUCCUAGAAAAACUCUGAAAGCUUAUAACAAAAUUUACCUGUACCGUAAACUGACACAGGUGGAUUAGUAGAGAAUACUAAGGGGCGCGAGAUAACUGUUUCUAAGGAACUCGGCAAAAUAACUCCGUAACUUUGGAAGAAGGAGUGCCUCUCUUAAAAAGAGGUCGCAGUGAAAUGGCCCAAGCGACUGUUUACCAAAAACACAGGUCUCCGCUAAGUUGAAAAACUAUGUAUGGGGGCUGACACCUGCCCAGUAUUGGACGGUUAAAGAAGUUGGUUAGCGUAAGCAAAGCUGAUAACUGAAGCCCCAAUGAACGGCGGCCGUAACUAUAACGGUCCUAAGGUAGCGAAAUUCCUUGUCGGGUAAGUUCCGACCUGCACGAAAGGUGUAACGAUUUGGGCGCUGUCUCGGAAACAGACUCGGUGAAAUAGAAUUGACUGUGAAGAUGCGGUCUACUUGCACUUGGACAGAAAGACCCUAUGAAGCUUUACUGUAGUCUGAGAUUGAUUUCUGGCUUUUUUUGCGCAGAAUAGGUGGGAAGCUAUGAUUCUUUCUUUCGGGAUUUGAGGAGCUAAAAAAUGAGAUACCACUCUUAAAAAGUUGGAAGUCUAAUAAGAAAUUUACUGUUUCUUUGACAGUUUCAGAUGGGCAGUUUUACUGGGGCGGUAGCCUCCUAAAAGGUAACGGAGGCGCACAAAGGUUUUCUCAGUCUGGACGGAAAUUAGAUUUGGAGUGUAAAGAUAUAAGAAAGCUUGACUGUAAGACUUAUAAGUCGAACAGAGACGAAAGUCGGUCUUAGUGACCCGACGGUACUGAGUGGAAAGGCCGUCGUUCAACAGAUAAAAGUUACUCUAGGGAUAACAGGCUGAUCUCCCCCAAGAGUUCAUAUCGACGGGGAGGUUUGGCACCUCGAUGUCGGCUCAUCGCAGCCUGGGGCGGUAGUACGUCCCAAGGGUUGGGCUGUUCGCCCAUUAAAGCGGUACGUGAGCUGGGUUCAGAACGUCGAGAGACAGUUCGGUCCAUAUCCGGUGUGAGCGCUAGAGCAUUGAGAGGACUUUUCCUUAGUACGAGAGGACCGGGAAGAAUACACCUCUGGUGUACCAGUUUUUGUGCCAACAGAAGUCGCUGGGUAGCCAUGUGUAGAGUGGAUA
rnacentral:rRNA from 1 species